ACAUCCAGAGAACUUGGCAGAGAUGCCUUGGUGCCUUCGGGACCUCUGAGACAGGUGCUGCAUGGCUGUCGUCAGCUCGUGUUGUGAAAUUGUUGGGUUAAGUCCCGNAACGAGCGCAACCCCUAUCCUUUGUUGCCAGCGAUUCGGUCGGGAACUCAAAGGAGACUGCCGGUGAUAAACCGGAGGAAGGUGGGGAUGACGUCAAGUCAUCAUGGCCCUUACGAGUAGGGCUACACACGUGCUACAAUGGCGCAUACAAAGAGAAGCGACCUCGCGAGAGCAAGCGGACCUCAUAAAGUGCGUCGUAGUCCGGAUCGGAGUCUGCAACUCGACUCCGUGAAGUCGGAAUCGCUAGUAAUCGUAGAUCAGAAUGCUACGGUGAAUACGUUCCCGGGCCUUGUACACACCGCCCGUCACACCAUGGGAGUGGGUUGCAAAAGAAGUAGAUAGCUUAACCUUCGGGAGGGCGUUUACCACUUUGUGAUUCAUGACUGGGGUGAAGUCGUAACAAGGUAAGCGUAGCGAG
rnacentral:rRNA from 1 species